AGUCUACCGGGGCGGGCGUGGAAAUAAACAAACAGUGACGGUGCCGCGCCCCGAGGGCGCCCGCGGAAGCGAGCGCGGGGUGCUCGCGAAGCCCCCGGGAGGACGCCCGACCCCGGGAAGGCCGGGCCGGCGCCUCCCGCCGCCGCAGAUGGCAGCGGGCGGAGGAGGCCGGGCUGCAGCCCCGCGGGGACCGCGAUGAGAAAAAUUAAGGCUCGGCAAGCCUAAGUAACUUUCUGAAGGAGAAGAUGUGAUCGCCAUGUUCAAAGCAUGAGGACAUUUGGAGAAAGAGAAUAGCUGCCCAACUGAGACCAGAACCUCCAAGCUCAGCUCAGUCCCAGUUGCAAGCCUUAGAUUCAGGAGCUAAAGAAACAGUUGUCAUUUCAAGUCAUUAAUUUUGGAGCUGUUUAUUACCAGCAUUGCUGUAGUAAUAGGUGGAUUCUUUACCAUCUGAGUCACCAGGGAAGUCCAGCAGACAACUAGCCAGUCAUCUGUUUGACUCCACAGGAGGGGAUCCUAACCCUUACUGGCAUGUGAUUUUGGGAACUCCACACCUUAGAGAAGGUCAGUGACCUCUGCCUGCCCUCUGCGCUUUGCCCACCCCCUGCCCACCAUGGUGUGUGACGUUGGUGCCAAGGGGCAAGUUCAGCCUGAGUAAUGUUCUUGGUAGAGCUGAAGUGGUCCACCACAGCUACAGCAGACAGCUCUUUGCUCCCAACUCAUGCUGCUAAUUGUUCAGUUCCAAGGACAACCAGGAACAUCGCACUUUGCUUCCAGAGCUGCAUGAUAUCUUGAUAUGACGCCAUCUAGUGUUCCAAACUUGGAUUGGGAAAAGAAAUGAAGCAUCACCUGCAAAUAAAACAAAAAGACCUCAAACUAGCGGGGGGGAAGAUGUUAUUACUUAACUAACUUAAAAGCGAAGCUUGAGUUUUCUUUUUCUUUUUUAUAUCACCAUUGCAGGAGGCAGCACGGGUGUCCCACUUGCAUAUCCUGACCCUCACCCCUUUGGUGCAAAGGGGCCAGGCCACCAACUACCAGCACCUGCCCAGCAGGGGAGGCUGAAGGAAUCAAGUGCUUACAAAACCGGCCUGAGAUGCAGAGCUCACCAAAACCACUGCCAUUGCUGGAUGCUGGAAAAUUUAUGGAGCUGCAGAGCCAGCAGGAUGCAGAGUAAACAACACUGAAUCCAAAUGGAGACGGUCAUACCUACCCCGCUAGAUGAGCUAUUCAACGGUCAGCAAAACAAGAGCAGCAAAUACUCACUCCCUCUCAACCAAGGGAAGAGCAGUGUCAUCAGAGGCGCUGUCUCCCUCCCCUCCUUCAGUCUCCUCCUAGCCAGCGGCCUAGCUGCCUGCCUCAGGCUGAAGGCCAGGUAAGCCUGAUGGGCUUUUCUUUAGCACUCCCAGGGGUCAGAUGAAGGUGAUACAAGAAUAACGCAGGCUAUUUAUAUUAGGAACACUUCUCAUGGGUUUGUAAAAAUCGAUUCAUAAAAAUGACCAAUGAAGCCAAUUUCAGACCACACCCAGGUUUCACCUGUCUGCCAACGUCAAAAGAGACAGCAGCAUCUCUGGUCCUGACAAGGCUCUCUGUGAUGCCCCUGGCACCUGGAGUCACACAGAGGCUUUACGGGGGCACCUUGGCGGAGAAGUCUGCCCUCCUCCACUUAAAGGACACAGUUGGGCCCCUCCCGUGUGUUGCUGGUGUUGUUUUUGAGAAGACACUCGGGGUUUCUCUGAAACAAAUUAAAGACCAAAUUAAAGUAUGUCUUUGGGGCAAAUGGAAAGUCAUUUGGGGUACAGAGCAGAUUGAAAAAUGCGAUCAAAGUUUUAAAACCCAAACCAACCAGGGCUGGUAAGAGGCCAGAUGAACCUUCAUGGUUUCAGAAAGUAGACAUCCCUAAAUUUGUUUUCUUGCACUUUCAGAAAAUCAGAAGAAAAAGAUAUGUGCUUUUUGUUUUUUCAUUUUUAAUUUCAGGGCUUGUUUUAAUUUUAGUAGGGGAUGGAAAGACUGCUGAGUUUGGGCAAGAAUUCAGCCUGAGACAGCCACUAGAGGGCGUCAGAGAUUCAGGAAAGCUCUUAUUUCCAAAAGAGGCCCCAGCAGCUGAAAGGUCUGAUCUGAGUGGGGUGUUUGGGGAGAAAUGGGUUCCUGAAAAUCUUUCAGGCAGGUGCUCACCGAAAGGAAGUAUCCAGGUCCGUAGGGAAGCUAGAUAAUUAAUUAAACAAUUUAUUCACUGUAUUUUUUCUGAAUACAAGCCACUUGUCCUUGGUGUGAAAGUACAGAUAAGGGUGUAGGACUUUUAAUAAGAGUCUGUAACUGAAAAGGGCUCAGGGGGUGGUAUCAAGGACAAGCUUGGAAGCUGUGGGCCGUCAUACCCCAUUAUUUCUAUGUGCUUCCCCAAUAAACUUAAAAUCAAAAUAAAAACAGCAUGUUUGCUAGGCAAAUACAGUAAUGUCCCCUACAUACAGGGCUUCAAGUUUUGCAAACUUUCAAAGAUGUGAACAUGCAUGCCAGCCUCUGUAUGCCAGCUGUUGUUGUACUGUACUGCUCUACUUUUCAAGGCACUGCACUAUGAGAUUAAAAAAUGUUUUCUUUAUUUUUUGUAUUUGUUUAUUUUCUACUUAUUAUUUGUGUGAAAAGUAUUAUAAACCUAUUACAGUACAGUACAGUACUAUAUAGUCAGUUGUGUUAGCUGGGCUCCUUAGGCUAGCUUUGUUGGACUUAAGAACAAAUUGGACUUAGGGACAUGCUCUCAGAACGAAAAUAGGGGACUUACUGUAGAGUUUUGAGCAAA